UGUGGAGCCUUCUUGGAACUGUUGAAAAGACUGUGUUGUAGACUGGAGGCAGAUGAUGUCAUAUCUCUCCCCUUCUGUUGACAGAGAGCUGUUCAGUUUUGACAUAGAUGGCCUGUUUGACUCUUCUUUCAAACCAGCGGUCCUCUCUGUCCAAAAUAACAAGUGAAAUGUUUUGAAAGAAA